GUUUCUGGGCCCACUAUGUGCCUCAGUAAUGUGUUCCACUGCCACUCAAUUACUAGGAUAUGUGGGGUCCGCUGCCACUCACAGGAUGUGCAUGGCGUCCACUACCGUUCAUAACUGGAGCUGAACAUGGAGAGGACAGAAGAUUCAGGUGCUGUUAACCGAGACACUGUGACUGGAGUUGUGCAUUGGCCAGCCUCUGGUACACUGGUCAAAGCACUGCUGGUACUCUCUAGCUCUGUCUGAGCAAAUGUAGAAUGGAGAUCCACACCAGGAAGUUGUGAGGAACCGAUACUGGAUUUCAAGUUGGAUUUUCUGAAGAACAAAAAGAUAAACAAAAAUUUAAGGUUAUAUAUUUAAUUAUAUAUUUUAUAUCCACAUUCUAGAAAAUGUCAUGCAUUCAACAAACAUGCAUGCAUUAGUUAUAGACAAAGUUAUAGCUCUAUGAUAUUAAAACGCUUAGAGCUGCACAUUAAGUUACUUUAUUCCUCAAAAUCCAGAACUAACACCAAUCACAUUUAACUUUAUAUUCAUUAAAGGUAUUUGUCAAGAAUUAUUACCAAAGGCUUAACUCAAAGACAAUAAAUUAAACAGUAAUUUCCAUUACAAUUAUCUUUUAACACCAAGUGCAA